GUGGGCCCUCGAAGUCCGCGCGGAGAGGGAUUCAGUCCCUGGACGGGGGUGGCGUGAACGACGGGGAUCUCUGGGUGAGACCUCGCGGUCGCGUCGAUCUCUCGGUCGGGGACGCACUUCCCUCUCCCGAAGGACGCCGCAGCCUCUCGGAGGUCGGCAGUAAGGACAAUGUAGGUAGGUGGCGUGGGUGUCGGUCUCGAACCGGCGCCCCGUGUCUGGCCUCUUAUGUUCAGGCGCGAUUCCCGAGAGAGGGAACGAGUCUCGUUCGCGAGACUUGCCGUUGCCUCGCCCUAGCGAGCGGCGAACGGGAUCAGGGACGCUGAGUGAUCCGAGCGUCACCGAGCGGUGUCGCCGGACUCGUGGUACCCGCUGAGUUCCCGAUUCAGCCGCGGCGUGCGCACACGGCUUGCGGCGAGUAGGUCGGUAACCCACCCGACCCGUCUUGAAACACGGACCAAGGAGUCUAACAUGUGCGCGAGUCAGUGGGACUCGAUCAAGCCCACGGGCAGAACGAAAGUAAGGAAGUCGGGAUCCUCGUCAGCGAUGGCGGGGCGCACCGACGGCCUGGACUAUCUCGAUAUUUAUCGGGAACCCGGAGUCAGAGCGUACACGUUGGGACCCGAAAGAUGGUGAACUAUGCCCGGGCAGGUCGAAGCUAGAGGAAACUCUGGUGGAGGACCGCAGCGGUUCUGACGUGCAAAUCGAUCGUCGAACCUAGGUAUAGG
rnacentral:rRNA from 1 species